CCGCGGCCCUCCUCUCCCGCGCUGGCAAGCAGGGACGGCCUCCGAGCAGCGCGCGGCUGGCGAGGAACGGAUCGAGGCGCGGGGGCCCCUGCUCGAGCACGUCGGCCUCCCCUGUUUGCGGCGCACGAGGGCCAUGGCCACGGCGACGCGCGCAUGGCCCGGAGCGGCCGCGGUGCGACCACGGCGGGGCGGCCGCGGCGGCCUGGGGGACCGCCGCCCACCUCGCGCCCUGCGCUGGUGCUCCUCCACCCCCUCCCUCGCCGGCGCUCCUCCACCCCUCCCAUCGCCGGCGCCCAUUCUCCCCCUCCCUCGCUCGAUCACAGGCCGGCGGCGGGCCUCGCAGCGGCACAGUGGAGCAGGGGCCCCGCCCCCGACGAGAUCCAGCCCAGGCCGGCGGCCAUGGCGCGGCGGCACCCCGCCGGCUGGAUCCACGCGGGUCCAGGCGUGCGGGCGGCCUCCUCCCUCCGUGCGGCCUCGACAGCCCCUUCCCCUCUCAUCCCUUCCCCAGACCUCCCACUGCCGCCGCCCGCCCCCUUCCCCGCACCGCUGCCGCCGUCCACGCCCUCCCCCCACCGCCUUCCGCGCGGCUCGCUGCCGGUAGCCCCGCCGCUUCCACCGGCCACCUCAGCCUGCCGUCCCUGCCCUCCACACCUUGACGCGCCACGGGACAACCCCGCCAGCAGCACCACCGCUGGCCGACCCUCCAUCCGAGGCGCCGUGAGCUGGUCCCUCCAUCCCCGCCGCCGCCCAGAGCCCUGAUCUGCUGCGCGAGCGCGGUGAACUUCCCGCUGCCUUGACGCGGCUCUCGGUGCGAGGCGGAGCGGGGCAAUCGGUCGUGGCACGGAGGCCGCGGCGCAAAACGGCGCUCGGAGAUACGGCGCACGGCGGCCGCGUCGAGAGCGCCGAUAGGAGAUGCAGCGCACGGUCGGCCUGCAGCCGCCGGCAAGCAGAAGGCCUGGAGUUGUCCACGGCGGCGCGACGCCUAGGGGUACACGCGGGCAGAGGUUUUGGAUGCGGCGUCGGCCGCCGAGGAGCCGCGCGGGGCCGCAGCGAUUCGAUGCUUGGCCGCGUCCUGGUGCAGCGAUGGCUUCCACCAUGCGCGGGUUCAGGCAAGAACGGCGCUACGUCUCUCGGCUCCUUCACGAUGCUCGGACCGCCUCGUGGACAAAGGGGUUGGUUCAAUCAUUAUUAGAUGAUAUUCCAGCGAUUACUCAAUAUAUAUGAUUGUAGAGAGUAAUGACAAUCUCUGCUUAAAGAUAAUGUGCUCCAUCGACCUUUGAUAUCAUAUAGCAUGUUACUUUAUAUACUUCAAUAAAUAUCCAUUAUAUGGUUGCAAUGGUUGUAUUUGUUUAUUUAUUUACCUUUGGUCAGAUUGAGGUUUGGAACUAUCACUUUGCUUAUUUCAUAUGUCUACUGAAUUAACCUGGCUUUGAAGCCUGAUGUCCCUCUAUAUUUUGAAUUUAAUAGUUUUGCUUUUUAUUCCAAGUUUGGAUGCUAUUUUUUCAUAAGCUUAUUAAAUAUUAGUUGGUGAGAUGCUCUAUUAUCACAAGUGUCUUCCCAUUUUGUAAAUAUGUUCCCUUUUGGAUUUUAACUUUUAGUUUCUCAACUAAACACUGAAAACAAUAUCUGCACUCUUCACAAAAUUUGAUUGCAGGAACAGGGUAGAAUUGAAGCUCUUUCUAUGCUUCCAAUAGCUUGACUGCAUCUUAUCUGGUGUCUUUUUUCUCGAACCAUCUUAUCUGGUGCUAAUUCAACAGAAGUCAUGUCUGCAAAUUUUGUCAGAGGCAGUUAGACUGCAUAGAAUGUUGACAAGGAUGCGGCUCCUCUCUUCCAGAAAGGUGUCAGAUUGUAUGAUGGCUUUGCCAAGCAGUCGGUCAGUUAUAAGAAGCUCCUGUUCAGAAUUACAGAGCAAGGAGGAUAUAAUUGGUUUCACAUUAGAAAAUAUCAGCUCCAUGAAGAUAUAAGUUCUACAGAUAUAAAUCCUCCAUACAAAAUUAUUCACUUAUGUAUUUGUUUUUAUUUGUGUGUGUGAUUAACAUAUCAACAUACAUCAUUCUUCUAUUAUAAUCUAUCGAAAACAUGCAAGAACCAGUUUGAAUUUGUAUCUAAAACCAAGUAGAUCCUUUAUUUAAAAAACAAGUAGAUCCAUAUAAAAUCAUUUUUAAUAACUAUUUUACUUUUGACUAUUUGUAAACAGUUGUGUAUAUGCGCGAAUGAACUUUAACUCCGAGAAAACCAUAAUAAUUACCUCUAAAAACUUUUAACUCCGAUCUUCCUGUUUCCAUUUUCCCCGUCGGAUCUUAUAAAAGAUAUAUACCAUUUUUACAUUCUCCUAUGCUUCAACGAUAAUUGUCUCUAAUAUUACAAAGAAAAGAUGCACGCGCAACGCUCGCACAAUCCACUAGUUUCUAUAUAACAAAGGAGCUGAGUUUCGAGCAAGACCACGACAUCCACGUCAGUCCAAAUUGUCUUGGCCGUUCGAUUUGCUAUCUACGAUGCCCACAACCCUGCCCGCUCCAGCUUUGCUUUGUUUUCGAGGUUUUCUUUUCACGCUGCCUUCUCAAUUUUUGUCAGGACCGAUUCCAUUUGUGUCAGGUCCACUGUGUCACCCGCGACGAGCCCGUCUUUCUCAUCCUGUUUCUUGGUUUCACACUGACUCCUGCCUCAACGAGUGCCGACCAUCGCGGGAAAAAUUCCACGGCGUCACCACUAUCCCCACCCACACACACUGCUGUCGCCCGCCCCCUCCACCCCGUGUCGCCAACGCCGCUCCUUCGGCCCGCGCUGCCGCUGCCCUCCGUGCGGCGAGGCGGAGCUCGGCCACGGUUCCUGGCGCGCGGUGGGCGGAGGCCGGCCUCCACGGCGGGCUGAUCUCGGCCUCGACCAGUCCCUCCCCGGCCCUUGGACCUUGCUCCUGGCGGCACGGCAGGAGGAAGAGCCCGGCGGCGGCAGCGGCCGAAUCCGCGGCCCUUCUCCUUCCGUCGCGUCGUGCUCCUCCGAUCGCGGCUCCUGCUCCGACUGGCCCUCUCCAGUGGCGGAUCGGGAGCUCGGGCUUCGCGGCCUCCCUCGUCGGCGCUCAAGCUCGGCUGGCCUCGACCUCCGCGGCGGCGAUGACGAGCUCCACCAGCCUCCCUCCUCACUCUUUCCUCCUCUGUCCUCCUCCCUUCAGCCGGCGGUUCCCGCUGGGCGUCAGGGCGUGCCUCCCUGACGCGCCCCGACCGCACGUCCUCGCCCACCUCCUCCCGACGAGGUGAAGCGGCAACGGCGGGACUCCACGAGGCCGGCGGCAGCGGUCUACUCCGUGGCCGGGGCGCUCCGUCCUUCCUAUCUUCCUGCACUGCCGCGUCCUCCUCGUCCACCCCCACCUCCACGCGAACAGUCCACCCCCACCUCCCUCUCUCUCUGCCAUGGCGCGUGGCCCCUCCGGCGAGGGCGGGCCGGAUCCGCGUCGCCCCUGCUCCCGCCGGCCAGGGCGGCGUGGCCGCGGCAGGGCGGCCCGCGAGCCGCACGGCGGAGCGGCCUCAGCGGGGCGACCUGCUCACGGCGCGGUGGGCCUCGAUGCCCACUCCUGGUCCCUUCUCCCAUGGCUCCCUCCUCGAGCUCGACCGGGGGUGGAGGAGGCCCGCCUACGCCGGCGCCUCUCCUCCCUCCCCUACAACAGAGGCGGCGGCGAGCAGGACCAUGGGAAGGAGGAGCAGGGGCGGCCGGCGAGCAGGCCCGGCGGCGGAUCCGAGCUCGGCUGCGGCGGAUCUGCGCGAAAUCGAGCUCAGCCUCCCCUUCCUCUACCUCUCCGGCGGCCGUCACCUCGCGGAUCCGACCUCGAGCUCCCUCCUCCCUUCGCGACGCGCGGAUCCGAUCCUGCUCCGCCGCUCGCUGCCCGCGCCUUGGUGCGCCGCCGUAAAAAUGUCGGCCGUGUAUCUUCCUCACCUGCAGAGCGGGACGCGGCAGGGCUGGCCCUGCUCCGGCCGGUCACAGACGGAGGCGUGGAGGCGGAAGAGCUGCAGGAGGCGCCUGCACCGCGCGCACCCGCCUGGCGUGGCCUUGCGCGCGUAGGCAGCGAAGUGCCACAUUAGCAGUCGCAGGCCGUCUUCCAUCGCGGACAUGGUCGUCGUCGUCCUCGACGGAGCAGCAGAGGUGAAGCCAUAUGUUCGAUAGUUGCGUCAGGCAACACUGACCAAUUAACCAUGCCCAGAUUUGUGUACAGCGAAGAAUAAAAGUAACCGCACAUGCCCUGACAAGAUGAUAAGGAGACCUACUUGCUGAAAAUAAGAAGACACAUUUAGGCUACUUGAAUUGCCUAAGCUUUUGCCAUGGGAAAGCAAAUUUGAUUUGUUUACAACUUUACUACUGUAUUCGAGUGUGAGGCUUCUUAUGGUUGGCUGGGUUCUAUUCUGCAUAUUGAUAGCAUUAUGUCUACAAGACUAGCUAUUGAGAAUGACUCUUACCGGCGAUUGAAAUCAGACUGCAUUUUCAGUUUGAUGGGGUGUCAUCAAAUCCAGAUAAUUUAGUAGUUGUCAUAGGUAAGUAGCAUCUUUACCUUCCUCUAAUUACUUUUUACCUUCUGUUUGUCCUGUAGUACAACAUUUAUGACACUUCACCUUCACAGUUUGCCAAUCAGAUUUUAUUUUCCCUUCCUUUAUAUCAAAUAUUUGUUUCUAAUUUAAUGUGUUCUUUAGAACUGGAAUAGAUCCUACAUAUCAUGACUUCAGGUCCGUUCUGCUGAUGCCACUACUUCCUCUGUUCUCCAUCCAGUAGUCACUAGGAUUUAAUGUUUGCAAUGUAAAACUUUGAGGAUUCCAAUAAAUGAGUGUCGUACAAUGAGACUUAUGCCAGAAGCAGGUAAACCUACUUAGUUAAAAAAAUGGUUACAAGCUAAUUCCAUUGUCUGUCACUUGAGGAUGGUGAGAGCAAGUCUUUACUUGCCAUUGAAAUUUUCGAAAAGCUUCAUACUGAAACUCCAACUGAAUAUAUGACCAUUGCUUUUUACUAUUUGCCACAUCGUUUUGUUUCGUUGUCAUCUCCAGUUGCAUAUUCCAAAUAUAUCUUCCAUGGACUGGAUUCUAUCUAUUUUGAUCCCAAGAUAAAGUUUGGAAGUGAACAUUACCAUUACCUUUAACUUGAAAUCCACACAGAGUAAACGGUUAUCAAUUAAUUGAAUUACGACCGCUCCACAUAAUGCAUUUAUAUUGUUUGAAAGGAUUGCGUAGUGUAUUGAUAUAUUUUCCAGUUUUUUUGCCCUCUCAUAAAUAGGAGCAAUUCAGAUGAGAGCUAAACAAACUAGAUAUGUCAUUCUGUACUUGGUGUUCUAUUAAGUAAUUUCUACUAUUUUUCUUCUUCCAAAAAGAAAACUGCUCUAUUCAAGUUAUUCCUUCAAAAUAUGCUUGGUGCAAAUAUUAAGAAAACUCCUGCUGGUGGUUCCCACAUUUUUAGCUAUUUUUAGCCUUGUUGAUUAAUCCUUCUUUCAUUAGCCUUAGUGAUAAAUGUCGGCCAAUUUUCCCAUACUUAACUUAAUUAGCAAUUAUAUUUUGGGAACAUGCAGCACAAGUUCCCAUACUUCUUUCACUAACCUUAGAUCUGCAGAAGCUCUCACACUGUCACUGGUAUGCAUCUCUGAAUAUUGAAGCUUGAAAUUCAAAACACCUCAUCAUUGCUUUAUUCUCGAUUCCCGCUUGAUUAGAUUAUUAAACUUAGAACAAGCAUGUAAGCAAUAUUGCAAUUCUGAAAUGACCUUGACGCCAUCUGAUAUCAUUGCAUAUUUGAAUUUUAAUUCACAAAAAUUUAAUCUGCUCAAAUAAAGGACUACAAACAAAAAUUAUAUGUGCAGAUUAGUUGUCAAUGAAUUUGAGAUCGCAUCGCUUACUUCAACGACCUAUAUCAACAUACAUUCUCGUUUAUGUGUAAAUUAGUUGUGUUUACCAAGGCACUAAGAACCUCACAUUGUUUUGACAAUCUGAUAGGGAACCAACUUAUGAGUGCAUAAAACAACCUGUUCUUCAAGAAGCAGAGGACAGCAAGAGCUGCGGACUCCUAAUCUGUGUCUUGAAUAUUUUAUCUGCGGACCAUCAGCACUAAAGGAUAAUAGUAUUGCUGCCAUUUAGGAUAGCAUUCCUGCUUGAAUGCUGUCUGGUCAAGUUAUGCCUACUCCUUGGAAGAUUCCAUAGAAACUAACGAAGCAAGGAAUCCUUUGAACAUUUCAAGAUAUCUUCCUUUGAUGGAUGGGAUGAUCUUGCAGUACCAACCAUAUCUAGAAGUGAUUUGCGAGCUUGAAGUGUAACCAAUAUUGCUUUUGGUGUGCCGUGGUCAUGCUGGAUAUAACCUUAUUCAUGCCUCUAGCUUCUCGGAACUCCUAUAUGUACCAUUAUUCCAUAUUGUACCUGCUGUUAUUGUUACCUGUGGGAUUCAUAUCGUUGCUAGCUAAUGAGCUGAUGAACCUUUCGUCGGUUGUCCUAAAUCUUUAAACCUCCAUAUUAGCUCCGACAUUUGCGGUUUAAAGUC